GUGAAUCAUCGAAUCUUUGAACGCAUAUUGCGCUCGAGACUUCGGUCGAGAGCAUGCCUGUCUCAGCGUCGGCUCACCCCUCGCCCACCCUUUCCCCUUCACCGGAGGAGAGGUGCCUGGACGGACGUGGCCGUCUCGCUUUCCCGGUAUCUCACCGGGAGAGCGGGUCGGCUGAAGUGCAGGGCCCGCGGCGCGACCCGGACGAGAGGGCGCCAGCAUGGUAGGUGGCUCAACGCUGCAUGCCGCUGUCGCCUUUCAUCUCGGCCCGAAUCAAGGUCGCAUCCAAUCGUCCGCUCGGCC
rnacentral:misc_RNA from 1 species